UGACUGAUACAGUUUUCAGCAGCACAGAUCAGAUGCUGUUUGGUCAGACUUAACUGUUUGUAGAAGGGAUUAGGAGAUGGUUGUUUCGCAGUUGUCUCUUUAUUUUCUUCUGUGACUUCCAUCUCAGUUGCAGUGUUGCGGACUUGAGAGCUACCAGGACUGGAAGUUCAACAUCCCAAAUUCCUGUCUAUGCGCCAACAAGUCCACUAAUCCAUGUGUGGCGGCUCCUAGAAACAGCAGCCUGUUUAACAGCCAGAAGGGCGACGGGCCUAUUAUGAUUUAUGAAAAGGGAUGCCUUCCAUACUUCAUCGAGACCAUAAUGAGUGUGAUUAGGACUGUGUUGGGCGUAACAAUGGGAAUCAUGUUAUUGUGGAUAUUGUCAGCAGUAUUGUGUAUAGCCAUCUUGUGCCAGCUCGAUCGGAAGAAAGACACCCCUGCAGUGGUCUACAGUGCAGAGGCAAAAGCAGGCAACUACACCACCCUCACAGAGGUUUCAGACCACUCCUGAUUUCUUUGUUUCUGAUUCAGCGUGUUAAGCAAAGCUAAGGCAAACCUUGGAGGCAAUGGGAUUAAUAGAAGACGUUAUGAUGAUUGGAUAUAUUGACUAUAUUAUACCAUGCAAGUGUAUUUUGAACUUCUUUGUUAAGGGUAUUUUCUAUUCACUAUGUAAUCCCUAAUGAGCUGUACAUUUGGGCUGUGCCACAAAAAACAAAACUGUGAAAGACUAUGUUCCUUUUUUGAUCAAUAUUUCUAUCCAGUAUAACCAAAAGGGAUAUGAUAAGUGACAGAGUGUCUUAACCGCUUUGCGCCUUUGAGCUCUGUGUUUAGAGACUUGUGGUAAUUCUGCCCUGACAUGGAGUGUAAUCUAGUACCUCUGUGAUUUUUAGCACCGGCAAGCAAGAAACUAAGUAAAAAUUCAGAGUUUAAAGCUAAUGUGCUCAGCAAAAAAGCACUUAUGAAUAGUAUGGGUGAAUUAAAGCUUAACUGAUAUUUUGUAGUUUGGUAGCUUUUCAUUUUUCUUUAACUCUGACUCUUUUUUUUUUUUUUUUCAUUCAAAGCUUUUUAAUACUCUCAUAUUUGAUAAGACGGGGGUUUAGUAUAAGGUGCCUUUUUUCAUUGCUCCGUAUCGUUUAGAUCAGCUGCUAAAGAAAAAAAAAAUCCUUCAAUCCACUUUCUUCCUUAGCCUUGCUGUGGCACAUCCCACAUCCUUUAUCCACUGCAUAAAUGAAAGGACAAAAGGAAAAUAUACAGCUUACAGUUUACACCUCUAACUGUCUAAACCACAGUUAAUGUAUCGAUUCUUGUUCCCUAGGUUUGUGGGAACAUUUUAGAAAAAUUCGAAAAUUCAUUGUGUAAUAAAAUGUUUUAUAUUCCCUUCA
ensembl:lncRNA